GAGGAAAUGUCGUCAGAAAUCCAGUCACUUGUCCCAGUGUUUGAGUGUCUGGCAAUGAACAGGAGUGACGCACGACGCUGUAUAAAUAUGACCUCUGCCUCGCACAGAGUCAGUGGCACCCAAGCAGCAGAAGGGAAAUAUGAGGCGUUUUCUCCUCUGCUGGGUGUCGCGGGCAGCCAUGGUGGCUGGGCAGGACACGGGCGGAAUUACUCUUUCCUGCCCCCGGUGACAGAGAGCCCGUUCCCUCACCGGGGGCAGGACCAUUUACCUUGCCCCGGACUGACUCUUCCUGCCGACGCAUGGCGAGGAAUCCUGGCCACACCUCCGCUGCUAGGCGGACCACAGUGUCCCCACAGAGCUGUGUAGCCUCCAACACCAGGCAACCACCCAAACACCACCAUCGUCAACACAGCCCCGUCAACACGCAGCCCAUCACCACUACGACAACCACCACUUCUGUAUGAUGGCCACGCCAUCGAGGAAUACAGUGGUGACAGUGACUGCGUAGUGACGGAGGAUAGAAGGAAAACUCUCUCUCUCUCUCUCUCUCUCUCUCUCUCUCUCUCUCUCUCUCUCUCUCUCUCUCUCUCUCUCUCUCUCUCUCUCUCUCAGCAGGGAUGGCGGCGCAGGAAUUCCUGACGGAAAAGGAAACUCACCAAAGAUUCUUUAUCAUUAAGCAGCCCAUCUUAACCAUUACGUACACUACACCCGCCCUUUACAAUCAUGCUCUCUGUAUUAUCAUUAACAUCUCUUAAAUUUCAUCGCAUUUCUGGAUCUCGCAUGUCAUGUUGCACAAUUCUGUGAGCGAAGUCAGUGAAUGCUUCAUAUUGUGUGGUUUUACACACGUUAAUAUCCAGCAUGACUUGUUAGGAAACAAUUCUUAAUAUAUAGUAAUAACUCUGUAACACUGCAGUCAAUGUGUUGAAUUGUGACUAAGGAUUGGUUUUGCACUGAAGAUAAAUAAAGCUAUUUGUUUCUAUUUUCCUGUUUUAAAAUGUAUCCCUGAUAUGUUAUUAUUUCUUUUUAUUCUUUAUUUUUUCUUUAGUUCUGAAGUAAUUAAAAGUAUAAUUAUUUUGAUAAGCUUGAAUGAGAUUGUGCUGCCCUUAACGUACACACCAGCACAGGAUCAUGAGCAUUCUUCCUCUUACGUACGCACCCAUCCACACGUGCUCCUGCACAGGCACACAUACACAAACUCACACACAAAUACGCGCGCGCGCACACACACACACACACACACACACACACACACACACACACACACACACACACACAUAUACAUACACACAGACACAAAUAAAUAUAUAAACAAAACAAACAAGUAAAAUUAAAACAAUAAAAUAAGAUUAACAUUAAACUGAAUAAAAAAUUAAGUUUCCGUGAUUUAUGCGGGAAGUGUCCCGGCUGAGCUGAAAGCUGUUACGGGAGGCUCACUAUUACUGCUGAGGGUGUUUACUUCGCUGCUUUGAUCAACUGUUGGAAGCCUCGAUACGAAGUUAAAAGGACAAGACAAGGCAAGGAAAGGCUAAAAAAAAAAAAAAUAAUAAAUAAAUAAAUAAUAGGAAAUAAAAAAAGGAGAAUAGCUUUGGACUAGGAAUUGUUUGUGGCACGAGAGAGAGAGAGAGAGAGAGAGAGAGAGAGAUAAAGACUGUGUGUGUGUAUUCACCUAGUUAUAUUUACACAGUUGUAAUGUAUAGAUAGUGAGGUACGUUCGUGGGGUCCUCUCUCCGAAUCUCGUGUUAUGAAGUUUCUCGUUGAAUUCAUGAAUGUUUGUGGCAUGAACUGCCUUUCACUCAAGUCAAUUCCAAGUGUCAAUGCAUCUUUAUUUAAUGCUGAACUGUGAUACCCCUCCAGCAUCUUGUCUUCUUUAAUUUCCUUCCAUGCCCUCUUAUUUCUCCAGUGUCCCACGCAAACAAGUUAUCCCUGCCAAAUGACUGGUCCGUUCAUUGGUCUGCAUACCGGUAUCAAGUCACCUCCUUUCUCUUCUUUCCUACAGAGAUGGCAGGCUUGGUCUGUUAAAUCUUUCCUCAUGUGUCACAUCCUUCUGGCUGGCAAUUAAAUUUGUAUGUUACUCUUUGUGUUCUUUAGAUUUUUUUAAUACAUUUAUUUUCAGGGAACUAUAGACAACAGCAACACAUGAUGAUCUUGGUCAAGUCACCAAUAUAUAUAUGUACUUUUUUUUUUCACCAUGUCCUCAUUUAUAUAAAGGAAUAACAUCCUCAUGCUGGUCAGUUAUUUGUUUCUCUUGUGAUUUUGUUUGUUUCUCUGGGGAUAAGUAAUUUUUCAAUCACUACCCCUAGAUCCUUUCCUUCUUUCAACUUUUUUUUUUCCUAAGUGUGUGUGUGUGUCGAGUCAAUGAAAAAAUACACACACACACACACACACACACACACACACACUGGUGUCAAAAUGAAUAUAUCUGGACAAUUUUUAGAUUAUCAUGAUAUUACACUCAAUGUUUAAGUAGUUUUACUGCUUACUAACAGUGUGAAAGUAGUAACGUAUCAUGAAGUAUAUUGAUGAGCCUAGCAGGGGAUUGUUUCAGCUGAUCUUACUGUGUGUGUGCGUGUGUGUGUGUGUGUGUGUGUGUGUGUUGUUACUAAUUCAACGUCUACCACUACUACUACUACUACUACUACUACUACUACUACUACUACUACUACUACUAUUGCUACUACUACUACUACUACUAAUAGUCCCUAUAAAUAGAAAUGACGCAUAACUUCCAUGAACUCGGAGAGCUUCGUGCCUCCAACUAAGUGGUGCAACACAGAUAGCACGCUUACCUCGCCUGACGACAGAUAAUCAUUGCAACACCUUUUGAAACUAGGUCUUAUACUGCUUUUAUUUUAGAGCACAACAGGUCAUACUGUAUACUUACUAUCUCAUCAUUAAUGGACACAAUGUGAGAGUAACGAUUAGCGAGGAAAUGUCGUCAGAAAUCUAGUCACUUGUCCCAGUAUUUCAGUGUCUGGCAAUGAACAGGAGUGACGCACGACGCUGUAUAAAUAUGACCUCAGCCUCGCACAGAGUCAGUGGCACCCAAGCAGCAAGAGGGAAGUAUGAAGUGUUUUCUCCUCUGCUGGGUGUCGCGGGCAGCCAUGGUGGCUGCGCAGGACACGGGCGGAAUUACUCUUUCCUGCCCCCGGUGACAGAGAGCCCGUUCCCUCACCGGGGGCAGGACCAUUUACCUUGCCCCGGACUGACUCUUCCUGCCGACGCAUGGCGAGGAAUCCUGGCCACACCUCCGCUGCUAGGCGGACCACAGUGUCCCCACAGAGCUGUGUAGCCUCCAACACCAGGCAACCACCCAAACACCACCAUCGUCAACACAGCCCCGUCAACACGCAGCCCAUCACCACUACGACAACCACCACUUCUGUAUGAUGGCCACGCCAUCGAGGAAUACAGUGGUGACAGUGACUGCGUAGUGACGGAGAAUAGAAGGAAAACUCUCUCUCUCUCUCUCUCUCUCUCUCUCUCUCUCUCUCUCUCUCUCUCUCUCUCUCUCUCUCUCUCUCUCUCUCUCAGCAGGGAUGGCGGCGCAGGAAUUCCUGACGGAAAAAGGAAACUCACCAAAGAUUGUUUAUCAUUAAGCAGCCCAUCUUAACCAUUACGUACACUACACCCGUCCUUUACAAUCAUGCUUUCUGUAUUAUCAUUAACAUCUCUUAAAUUUCAUCGCAUUUCUGGAUCUCGCAUGUCAUGUUGCACAAUUCUGUGAGCGAAGUCAGUGAAUGCUUCAUAUUGUGUGGUUUUACACACGUUAAUAUCCAGCAUGACUUGUUAGGAAACAAUUCUUAAUAUAUAGUAAUAACUCUGUAACACUGCAGUCAAUGUGUUGAAUUGUGACUAAGGAUUUGUUUUGCACUGAAGAUAAAUAAAGCUAUUUGUUACUA